UACGUAGGGGGCGAGCGUUAUCCGGAAUUAUUGGGCGUAAAGAGUACGUAGGUGGUUUUCUAAGCGUGGGGUUUAAGGCAAAGGCUUAACCAUUGUUCGCCCCAUGAACUGGAGGACUUGAGUGCUGGAGAGGAAAGCGGAAUUCCUAGUGUAGCGGUGAAAUGCGUAGAUAUUAGGAGGAACACCAGUGGCGAAGGCGGCUUUCUGGACAGUAACUGACACUGAGGUACGAAAGUGUGGGGAGCAAACA
rnacentral:rRNA from 1 species